UGUUGUUGUUGGAACUGAAUUAUUGUGGCGCCAUAAAUUGUAAGAACAAGCUGAUAUAAUUUACUGUUGCUAUGCUCUUAAUUCGUAUUCUCUUGAGAGGGUCACACUCGCAUGACAGAAGAGUCGCUGCUGAUCUGGGCAGAGUGGGACAGGCCCAUUUCCAGGCUCUCUUGGAAGUGGUUCAGACUGAAUCUCCACAAAGACCCUCAUCAUAUAUGUUUAUUUAUACAUCUAGUGUGUACUAUAGUAUCCGUCUUUAUUUCAGUAGUUCUAAAUCGUACCUAUUUAGCCUCAGGCGUACGUCCUUAUUGUAUAUUACUAACUGUAUACAAUUCCAAGGUAAAUUGCCACUGCAAUGUUCAUCAGUGUGGCAGCCAUCUUCAUUGCAAAGAAGGUACUUCCUGUGUUUCAACAACAUCUGCGACAGAUUCAGGAUAGACAAGGAGGAUCACUACUACGCUCUCUCGGGAUUUGCAUUACUAAGGUUAUGAACAAUUGUUUUACUGAAAGUGUAGCAUCACUGAUAAUGGAUCAAAAUUGGUAGAUUGGGUACAGGGUUUUGCAGACAUCAACAAUAGUGUUGAGGGUUGAGCGUUCCUUAUACAGAAUGCUUUGCCCGUUGUGGUCGUCCAUAUAAGGAAUACUCAACCCUCUAUGUUGCAAAGAUUGAGGCAUAUACUCAAAAGCAAGCAUAGACCAACAAGAAGAUACCAUUCAACAACUGUAUACAAAUGGAGACUGUCAUUAUGGAAUCAGGACAAACUGGAACAAGAUUUCCAAAACCAAACGUCAUAAAUGUUUGCUUCGUAUCGAUAUUUAGUGGGUUCAUUACAGGGAAAGAAGACCACUACUAUAUCCUGUCUCUGCGCACCUUGAUCUUAGCAUCCUUUCUCCUUGCUUGGCCAGGAAUUCUGUUGAGUGUAGCUGCUAUCAUUACGGCUAAAAAGGCUCAAGAACUAGACAUUGAAGGCAAUAAAACCGAGGCUGAGAGAAAGGGUUCUCUGGCUCGGAAUCUCAACAUUGCAUCAUACAUCACCACUGUAGUGUAUUUCGUAUUGUUGACAGCGGUACUCUCAACGGCAAUUUACGUUGGAAUCGUAUACAGGUAGAAUAAGGACAUACGCCUGAGGCUAUAGGUAUAUGCAGCUGAUUUAGAACUAUUGAAAUAAAGAACACAGACACUAGUUAUUGUACGUUGUAUAAUGUGUAUAUAUGUAUGGAUAUUUCAACAUUGUCAUAUUGAAAGUUUAAUGAGACUUGAAACCACACAAUCAGAUGAGUGCUUUUUAAUAGUAUACUGAGACUUUCAUAUUAAUAGCUUAUCAUCCAUCAUCUGGCUCUCAAGAGAAUAAUUAAUUGAGAAACGAUUCAGUAGAGCAUCAAAUUAUAAAAGCAUGUUCUUACAAUUAUGGUGCUGCAAAAAUAUACACACAGCCCGGUUACUUUACCCUGUCAAAUAUACAGUUGUCAGCAAUUAGAGUAUUUAAAGGGAGGCAUAUUCAUCCCUAACUAAAAGAAUCUUAGAAGAGCCUGCAAGUGUAGCGACCAGCCAAGAAGUAAUGGAGCAAGGUGCAUGAAUGCAGCUGUUAUGUUGCAUUCAAGUAACUAACUAUCACACACACAAGAGGAGUUGGAACAAAGAAGUCUCUCACCACGGUCCAGUCCCUAUGUUUCGCCAUGCACUAUCUGCGACGGCUCCAGGAUAGGCAAGGAGGAUCACUACUACUACGCUCAUUCCAUCCACAACACUAUUGUGGCAGCUGUUUUAGUGUUGGCAUGGCUUCCAAUGUUCUUCAAUGUGGCAGCCAUCUUCAUUACAAAGAAGGGUACAUUGGCUGUGGUCAGCCUAAAGCCCAGGAGCCUCAAUCCUUCAGUAUCCAAUCAGAGACUCACUAAAACUACCCACCACAUUGAAACUGCAUGGGUUGUCUGAAGUUGUAAAUGUGGUUUGUCAAGUGCAACAGAAAAUGGACCACAUUGGAACUGGGUUGUCUGAAGUUGUAAAUGUGGUUUGUCAAGUGCAAGCACACGCACACAAAAUGUGCACAGUGCAUGCACAGCAGGGAUCAAAGAGUGUUUUCUUUGAUCCCUGCCCUGCAAGCACACAAAAUGUGCACAGUGCAUGCACAGCAGGGAUCAAAGAGUGUUUUCUUUGAUCCCUGCCCGUGCAAGCACACACACACAAAAUGUGCACAGUGCAUGGCACUGCAGGGAUCAAAGAGUGUUUAUUACUACUACUCAGUUGUAAAUGGGUUGGAUAACAGCUUCUAAUUGCUUCUAUAUAUAGUGUUCAUAGUGUGUAUAUAUAAUUAUACAGUGACAAAGUUCUCUUUAUUGCGUGCGUUUAAUUAAGCACGACUCUGAGUACCCCACACCAUAUUGUAAUAUGUAUUGAACGUAUCUUACAUAACAUGCAGUGCCGAAGAAACAGCAUCACUGAACAACAUUGAUAAUGGAGCAUACAAACAAUGGAUUAGGUAUUUAAAGGGGUGAGCAUGCAGGUGAGGUAGGUUCACGGGCAAGCACAGAGCAACAAGAGGACACCAUUCAACAACCAUACAAGUAGACACUGUCAAUAUGGAAUCAGGACAAACUGGAGCGAGAUUUCCAAAACCAAACGUUGUGAAUGUUUGCUUCGUAUCGAUAUUUAGUGGGUUCAUUACAGGGAAAGAAGACCCUACCAUGCAUGGGGGAGACUUCUUUGUUCCAACUCCUCUUGUCUGACUUGUGUGUGUGAUAGUUAGUUCCACGAAUGCAACAUUAACAGCUGAAUUCACCUCGCUCCAUUACUUCUUUGCUAGUCACUACUACUAGUCAGACUCUUCUAAAAAAUUUUGGCAAGCACAGUGACAGUGAAAAGUCAAACCCAAUGGCUUUUCAGAAUAUGCCUCCCUUUAUAAUUAUACUCUAAUUGCUUAUUUGACAGGGUAAAGUAACUGUGCGUGUGUGUGUGGCCAUGUUGUUGAUUAUUGUGGCGCCAUAAAUUGUAAGAACAAGCUGAUAUAAUUUGCUGUUGCUAUGCUCUUAAUUCGUAUUCUCUUGAGAGGUACUCAUUAUAUUAAAAAGCACUCGAUCUGAUUGUGUGGUUGAUUGUGUGGUUUCAGUUUGUCACUCAUUAAACUUUCAAUAUGACUAUAUAUGUUUACAAUAAUUAUGACUAUAAUUAUAUGUUUAUUGACCAUAUACAUACAGUGCAUCCAGCUUAGAGAGUAGAUUACCACAAAUGUGUAAGUGGCUGUACUUAAAACAUGAGGUGGUGGGUAAUAAGUAAAUUGUUAUAGUGAGUAAUCGGUUAGAGUAAUAAAACACUAACCUUAAGGUUAGGUAAACAGUUUGCUCAUGAAUAUUCAUGAUUUUCUUAUAAUGAUUUUUGUGAAACUAUAAAUGCCGUGAGAGAAGUUUGAAGCACAUAUACAUGAUAAAUAUAUCGUUGUAUCAAUCUGUAUGACAAGUAUCAAUCUUCAAAACAUCUUUCAGUGGAAGCUCUGAGCGAUCAUCAAGUUACUAGAAACAACACAAAACUAGUAGUCAUUUUAAACUUCCAAAAACACUUCUAGCUCUGUGUUCUUGGUCUUAUAUGAUGCUUCUUACCAUUCUGGAGGGCGGGUCGAAGCGUUUUUUUCUUUCCAGGCCAACAAACUCUCACAAAAUAAUAAUAUGUAGACUAACUCCACUUAAAAUGGCGGCCAGAGCCAAGGAAAACAGCCUCUUGUGAGCUUUCAGUAGCCUUUUUUCAAAAUAUCUCUUCGACCCGCCCUGCAUAUAGUGAAGCUACAGUAGACUGUACCUAAGCUUUAUAGCAAAAAUGUCUAUUCAAGCCAUGAAAUGACUACUGCGGUUCAGCUGGACUUCCAGCUCAUUCUAGCUGGAAAAGAUCACUAGAUCUAGCUCAUGAAUAAUUAAUGAGCAAACGGUUGACCGUAACCUUAAACAGCUAAGGUCUCAGACUUCAUAA